UGAGAAGACACACUUGGAGAAGACUCUAAAUCAAGUACAGGUCAGCUCUGUGGUGUGUUCCACACAGGAACAGGCCAGAUAUAGGAACAACUGUCCAUAUAUAGCAGCCAGAAGGAAAAAUAGAGUGUGGCCAUGCUAGGGAGCAAGAACUACAUAGCUCCCUGGAAGUGACACCCAGGCCCUGCCUCUGCCUUGAAGAGAAGAUAAGAGACAGGGGGCUAGAAAGAUGGGGCUCCACUUGUUUCCCAGGCUGCUUCCUGCACAUCAGAGAAAGCCUGCACAUGGGCUCCCUAAAGGGUGAGCAUUCCCUACUCUGGAGCAAGGUAUGCCAGGAUUUUGCUCUGCUGGAGAAAGCCACAGUGGCACUGUAUGUGAAAGAAGAUCUUGGGGGUUUUCAAUGGUUCUACCUGUCCAGAGAUGUCAGAGCCUCGGCACCCUCUGCUGCUCCAGACCCCAACCCCAAACAGAACCAUGGAGUCCGAGGAGAACCC
rnacentral:lncRNA from 1 species